GACUGUCUCAUUUUAUUUGAUGUUAGAAUUUAAUUUUUUAGUUAAAAAGCUAAAAUUUAAUUGGAAGACGAGAAGACCCUAUAGAGCUUUAUAUUUAUUUAAUUAAUUAUUUUUAGAUUAUUUAUGAUUAAUUGAUUUAAUAUUUUGUUGGGGUGACAAAAAUAUAUAAUUAACUUUUUUAUUUAUAUAACAUUAAUUUAUGAUUAUAGGAUCCUUUAUUAUUGAUUAUUAGAUUAAGUUACCUUAGGGAUAACAGCGUAAUCCUCCCCCAGAGUUCAUAUUUACGGGAGGGCUUGCGACCUCGAUGUUGGAUUAAGAUAAUAUUUAGGUGUAGCCGCUUAAUUUAUAGGUCUGUUCGACCUUUAAAUUCUUACAUGAUCUGAU
rnacentral:rRNA from 1 species